CUAAAACGGUUGGCGCUUCGGGCUUAAAAUCCG
rnacentral:tRNA from 1 species